AGCAGCCGCGGUAAUUCCAGCUCCAAUAGCGUAUAUUAAAGUUGUUGCAGUUAAAAAGCUCGUAGUUGAAUUUCGGGAUCAAUAUAUCGGUCGUGCCUCCGGUAUGCACUGGUAUUAUUGAUUUCUACCUUCUGACGAAUCAUGAUGUCAUUAAUUUGGUGUCAUGGGGAAUCAGGACUGUUACUUUGAAAAAUUAGAGUGUUUAAAGCAGGCACACGCUUGAAUACAUUAGCAUGGAAUAAUGAAAUAGGACGUUUGACCCUAUUUUGUUGGUUUCUAGGAUCGACGUAAUGAUUAAUAGGGAUAGUUGGGGGCAUUAGUAUUCAAUUGUCGGAGGUGAAAUUCUUGGAUUUAUUGAAGACUAACUACUGCGAAAGCAUUUGCCAAGGAUGUUUUCAUUAAUCAAGAACGAAAGUUAGGGGAUCGAAGACGAUCAGAUACCGUCGUAGUCUUAACCAUAAACUAUGCCGACUAGGGAUCGGAUGAUGUUAAUUUUUAAUGACUCAUUC
rnacentral:rRNA from 1 species